rnacentral:rRNA from 1 species
UGGGGAAUAUUGGACAAUGGGCGCAAGCCUGAUCCAGCCAUGCCGCGUGUGUGAAGAAGGCCUUUUGGUUGUAAAGCACUUUAAGCGAGGAGGAGGCUACUUGGAUUAAUACUCUAGGAUAGUGGACGUUACUCGCAGAAUAAGCACCGGCUAACUCUGUGCCAGCAGCCGCGGUAAUACAGAGGGUGCGAGCGUUAAUCGGAUUUACUGGGCGUAAAGCGUGCGUAGGCGGCUUCUUAAGUCGGAUGUGAAAUCCCUGAGCUUAACUUAGGAAUUGCAUUCGAUACUGGGAAGCUAGAGUAUGGGAGAGGAUGGUAGAAUGCCAGGUGUAGCGGUGAGAUGCGUAGAGAUCUGGAGGAAUACCGAUGGCGAAGGCAGCCAUCUGGCCUAAUACUGACGCUGAGGUACGAAAGCAUGGGGAGCAAACAGG